rnacentral:rRNA from 1 species
CGGCCGCGUCGACGGCGGACGGGUGAGUAACGCGUGAGGAUCUGCCUACAGGACCGGGACGAACAGCGGGAAACGUAGCUGCUAAAACCGGAAUGUGCCGAGAGGUGAAAUAUUAAUAGCCUGUAGAUGAGCUCGCGUCUGAUUAGCUAGUUGGUGGGGUAAGAGCCUACCAAGGCGACGAUCAGUAGCUGGUCUGAGAGGACGAUCAGCCACACUGGGACUGGGACACGGCCCAGACUCCUACGGG